rnacentral:rRNA from 1 species
AGAGUUUGAUUAUGGCUCAGAUUGAACGCUGGCGGCAGGCUUAACACAUGCAAGUCGAACGGUUUUGGGUACUUGUACUUAAGAUAGUGGCGAACGGGUGAGUAAUGCCUAGGAAUCUACCUAUUAGCGGGGGAUAACGUUCGGAAACGGACGCUAAUACCGCAUACGCCCUACGGGGGAAAGCAGGGGAUCUUCGGACCUUGCACUAAUAGAUGAGCCUAGGUCGGAUUAGCUAGUUGGUGGGGUAAAGGCCUACCAAGGCGACGAUCUGUAGCGGGUCUGAGAGGAUGAUCCGCCACACUGGAACUGAGACACGGUCCAGACUCCUACGGGAGGCAGCAGUGGGGAAUAUUGGACAAUGGGGGCAACCCUGAUCCAGCCAUGCCGCGUGUGUGAAGAAGGCCUUUUGGUUGUAAAGCACUUUAAGCGAGGAGGAGGGUACGCUGGUUAAUACCUAGCAGUAUCGGACGUUACUCGCAGAAUAAGCACCGGCUAACUCUGUGCCAGCAGCCGCGGUAAUACAGAGGGUGCGAGCGUUAAUCGGAAUUACUGGGCGUAAAGCGCGCGUAGGCGGCUAUUUAAGUCGGAUGUGAAAUCCCCGAGCUCAACUUGGGAAUUGCAUUCGAUACUGGGUAGCUAGAGUAUGGGAGAGGAAGGUAGAAUUCCAGGUGUAGCGGUGAAAUGCGUAGAGAUCUGGAGGAAUACCGAUGGCGAAGGCAGCCUUCUGGCCUAAUACUGACGCUGAGGUGCGAAAGCAUGGGGAGCAAACAGGAUUAGAUACCCUGGUAGUCCAUGCCGUAAACGAUGUCAACUAGCCGUUGGGGCCUUUGAGGCUUUAGUGGCGCAGCUAACGCGAUAAGUUGACCGCCUGGGGAGUACGGUCGCAAGACUAAAACUCAA